rnacentral:rRNA from 1 species
UACGAAGGAGGCUAGCGUUGCUCGGAAUUACUGGGCGUAAAGCGCACGUAGGCGGCUUUUUAAGUCGAUGGUGAAAUCCUGGAGCUCAACUCCAGAACUGCCUUCGAUACUGGGGAGCUCGAGUUCGGGAGAGGUGAGUGGAACUGCGAGUGUAGAGGUGAAAUUCGUAGAUAUUCGCAAGAACACCAGUGGCGAAGGCGGCUCACUGGCCCGAUACUGACGCUGAGGUGCGAAAGCGUGGGGAGCAAACAGG